UUCGGGAAGCGGUCAUUCGCUGUUUUUACUUUUGUAUAAAUAGAGGAAAGUCCGGACAUCGCAGGGCAGAAUUCCCCGUGAAAGCGGGGGGGGCUUAUGUUAAGAUAAGUUCACGGCUAGUGCAGCAGAAAAUAAACCGCCUUGUUCGCAAGGUAAGGGUGAAAAGGUGGGGUAAGAGCUCACCGCCACGAGGGCAACUAAGUGGGCAGUGUAAACCCAAUUCGAUGCAAGGUGAAAUAGGAAACGGAGUUGCCCGCUCUAUGGUUUCGGGUACACCGCACCUUCACACAAGAAGGAUCAAUGCAAAUUGAUAGAUAAAUGAAUGACAACCUAACUUCGGUUAAAAACAGAAUCUGGCUUACAGCUUCCCGAAUUCU
rnacentral:RNase_P_RNA from 1 species